CCUACGGGAGGCAGCAGUGGGGAAUAUUGCGCAAUGGGGGAAACCCUGACGCAGCAACGCCGCGUGAGUGAGGAAGGACUUCGGUCUGUAAAGCUCUGUUAAUGAGGAAAAAUGGUAGUUGGUCUAAUAGGCUGAUUAUUUGAUGGUACUCAUAGAGGAAGCACCGGCUAACUUCGUGCCAGCAGCCGCGGUAAUACGAAGGGUGCAAGCGUUGUUCGGAUUUAUUGGGCGUAAAGCGCGCGUAGGCGGACCCGCAAGUCAGAUGUGAAAUCUCGAGGCUCAACCUCGAAACUGCGUCUGAAACUACUGGUCUAGAAUCUCGGAGGGGGAAGGGGAAUAUCGCAUGUAGGGGUAAAAUCCGUAGAUAUGCGAUGGAACACCAGAGGCGAAGGCGCCUUCCUGGACGAGUAUUGACGCUGAGGCGCGAAAGCGCGGGGAUCAAACAGGAUUAGAUACCCUGGUAGUCCCACGCUGUAACGAUAGAACACUAGAUAUUAGGUAGGUAGUUAGUACCCGUUACCUACGUGUCG
rnacentral:rRNA from 1 species